UAUGGAAGCUUGCUUCCACUGAGAAGAUAGUGGCGAACGGGUGAGUAACACGUGGGUAACCUGGCCCAUAAGAGGGGGAUAACAUCCGGAAACGGGUGCUAAUACCGCAUAGUUUCUUGAUCGCAUGAUUGAGAAAGGAAAGACGGCCUUUGUGCUGUCGCUUAUGGAUGGACCCGCGGCGUAUUAGUUAGUUGGUGAGGUAAUGGCUCACCAAGACGAUGAUACGUAGCCGACCUGAGAGGGUGAUCGGCCACAUUGGGACUGAGACACGGCCCAAACUCCUACGGGAGGCAGCAGUAGGGAAUCUUCCGCAAUGGACGAAAGUCUGACGGAGCAACGCCGCGUGAGUGAAAGAAGGUUUUCGGAUCGUAAAACUCUGUUGUCAGAGAAGAACAAGUUGGAGAGUAACUGCUCCAGCCUUGAACGGUAUCUGACCAGAAAGCCACGGCUAACUACGUGCCAGCCGCCGC
rnacentral:rRNA from 1 species